AGGGCGCACGGUGGAUGCCUUGGCACUAGAAGCCGAUGAAGGACGUUACUAACGACGAUAUGCUUUGGGGAGCUGUAAGUAAGCUUUGAUCCAGAGAUUUCCGAAUGGGGAAACCCAGCAUGAGUUAUGUCAUGUUAUCGAUAUGUGAAUACAUAGCAUAUCAGAAGGCACACCCGGAGAACUGAAACAUCUUAGUACCCGGAGGAAGAGAAAGAAAAUUCGAUUCCCUUAGUAGCGGCGAGCGAAACGGGAAGAGCCCAAACCAACAAGCUUGCUUGUUGGGGUUGUAGGACACUCUAUACGGAGUUACAAAGGACGACAUUAGACGAAUCAUCUGGAAAGAUGAAUCAAAGAAGGUAAUAAUCCUGUAGUCGAAAAUGUUGUCUCUCUUGAGUGGAUCCUGAGUACGACGGAGCACGUGAAAUUCCGUCGGAAUCUGGGAGGACCAUCUCCUAAGGCUAAAUACUCUCUAGUGACCGAUAGUGAACCAGUACCGUGAGGGAAAGGUGAAAAGCACCCCGGAAGGGGAGUGAAAUAGAACCUGAAACCGUGUGCUUACAAGUAGUCAGAGCCCGUUAAUGGGUGAUGGCGUGCCUUUUGUAGAAUGAACCGGCGAGUUACGAUUUGAUGCAAGGUUAAGCAGUAAAUGUGGAGCCGUAGCGAAAGCGAGUCUGAAUAGGGCGUUUAGUAUUUGGUCGUAGACCCGAAACCAGGUGAUCUACCCUUGGUCAGGUUGAAGUUCAGGUAACACUGAAUGGAGGACCGAACCGACUUACGUUGAAAAGUGAGCGGAUGAACUGAGGGUAGCGGAGAAAUUCCAAUCGAACCUGGAGAUAGCUGGUUCUCUCCGAAAUAGCUUUAGGGCUAGCCUCAAGUGAUGAUUAUUGGAGGUAGAGCACUGUUUGGACGAGGGGCCCCUCUCGGGUUACCGAAUUCAGACAAACUCCGAAUGCCAAUUAAUUUAACUUGGGAGUCAGAACAUGGGUGAUAAGGUCCGUGUUCGAAAGGGAAACAGCCCAGACCACCAGCUAAGGUCCCAAAAUAUAUGUUAAGUGGAAAAGGAUGUGGCGUUGCCCAGACAACUAGGAUGUUGGCUUAGAAGCAGCCAUCAUUUAAAGAGUGCGUAAUAGCUCACUAGUCGAGUGACACUGCGCCGAAAAUGUACCGGGGCUAAACAUAUUACCGAAGCUGUGGAUUGUCCUUUGGACAAUGGUAGGAGAGCGUUCUAAGGGCGUUGAAGCAUGAUCGUAAGGACAUGUGGAGCGCUUAGAAGUGAGAAUGCCGGUGUGAGUAGCGAAAGACGGGUGAGAAUCCCGUCCACCGAUUGACUAAGGUUUCCAGAGGAAGGCUCGUCCGCUCUGGGUUAGUCGGGUCCUAAGCUGAGGCCGACAGGCGUAGGCGAUGGAUAACAGGUUGAUAUUCCUGUACCACCUAUAAUCGUUUUAAUCGAUGGGGGGACGCAGUAGGAUAGGCGAAGCGUGCGAUUGGAUUGCACGUCUAAGCAGUAAGGCUGAGUAUUAGGCAAAUCCGGUACUCGUUAAGGCUGAGCUGUGAUGGGGAGAAGACAUUGAGUCUUCGAGUCGUUGAUUUCACACUGCCGAGAAAAGCCUCUAGAUAGAAAAUAGGUGCCCGUACCGCAAACCGACACAGGUAGUCAAGAUGAGAAUUCUAAGGUGAGCGAGCGAACUCUCGUUAAGGAACUCGGCAAAAUGACCCCGUAACUUCGGGAGAAGGGGUGCUCUUUAGGGUUAACGCCCAGAAGAGCCGCAGUGAAUAGGCCCAAGCGACUGUUUAUCAAAAACACAGGUCUCUGCUAAACCGUAAGGUGAUGUAUAGGGGCUGACGCCUGCCCGGUGCUGGAAGGUUAAGAGGAGUGGUUAGCUUCUGCGAAGCUACGAAUCGAAGCCCCAGUAAACGGCGGCCGUAACUAUAACGGUCCUAAGGUAGCGAAAUUCCUUGUCGGGUAAGUUCCGACCCGCACGAAAGGCGUAACGAUUUGGGCACUGUCUCAACGAGAGACUCGGUGAAAUCAUAGUACCUGUGAAGAUGCAGGUUACCCGCGACAGGACGGAAAGACCCCGUGGAGCUUUACUGUAGCCUGAUAUUGAAAUUCGGCACAGCUUGUACAGGAUAGGUAGGAGCCUUUGAAACGUGAGCGCUAGCUUACGUGGAGGCGCUGGUGGGAUACUACCCUAGCUGUGUUGGCUUUCUAACCCGCACCACUUAUCGUGGUGGGAGACAGUGUCA
rnacentral:rRNA from 1 species